UACGGGGGGGGCAAGCGUUGUUCGGAAUUACUGGGCGUAAAGGGCUCGUAGGUGGCCAACUAAGUCAGACGUGAAAUCCCUCAGCUUAACUGGGGAACUGCGUCUGAUACUGGAUGGCUUGAGUUUGGGAGAGGGAUGCGGAAUUCCAGGUGUAGCGGCGAAAUGCGUAGAGAUCUGGAGGAACACCGAUGGCGAAGGCAGCCCCCUGGGCUAACACUGACGCUCAUGCACGAAAGCGUGGGGAGCAAACAGG
rnacentral:rRNA from 1 species